CAGCCGCCACGGUAAUACGAAGGGGGCUAGCGUUGUUCGGAUUUACUGGGCGUAAAGCGCACGUAGGCGGAUCGUUAAGUCGGGGGUGAAAUCCUGGAGCUCAACUCCAGAACUGCCUUCGAUACUGGCGAUCUUGAGUCCGGAAGAGGUGAGUGGAACUCCUAGUGUAGAGGUGGAAUUCGUAGAUAUUAGGAAGAACACCAGUGGCGAAGGCGGCUCACUGGUCCGGUACUGACGCUGAGGUGCGAAAGCGUGGGGAGCAAACAGGAUUAGAUACCCCCGUAGUCCCUGUCUCUUAUAC
rnacentral:rRNA from 1 species